CCAGGUGGUUAGAGCAGCUUCUAGGUUCAGCACAACUUCUACCUGGCUCCAGAGGCUUGUGCAGACUUGCUGCCACCUGGCCUCAACUGAUGUGAUUCUAAUUCACCGGCGA